AACGAACGCUGGCGGCAGGCCUAACACAUGCAAGUCGAGCGAGGACUUCGGUUCUAGCGGCGGACGGGUGAGUAACGCGUGGGAAUGUGCCCUUCUCUACGGAAUAGCCCUGGGAAACUGGGAGUAAUACCGUAUACGCCCUAUUGGGGAAAGAUUUAUCGGAGAAGGAUCAGCCCGCGUUGGAUUAGGUAGUUGGUGGGGUAAUGGCCUACCAAGCCGACGAUCCAUAGCUGGUUUGAGAGGAUGAUCAGCCACACUGGGACUGUGACACGGCCCAGACUCCUACGGGAGGCAGCAGUGGGGAAUCUUAGACAAUGGGGGCAACCCUGAUCUAGCCAUGCCGCGUGAGUGAUGAAGGCCUUAGGGUUGUAAAGCUCUUUCAGCUGGGAAGAUAAUGACGGUACCAGCAGAAGAAGCCCCGGCUAACUCCGUG
rnacentral:rRNA from 1 species